GUCCUGCCAAGGGCACGGCUGGGUAGCGAAGUUCGGUUGUGAUAACCGCUGAAUGCAUAUAAGCGGGAAGCACGCCCCAAGAUGAGAUCUCCCUGAAGGGCCCAGAAAGACCAUCUGGUUGAUAGGCUGGACGUGGAAGUGUGGUGACACACGUAGCUUACCAGUACUAAUCGCCCGUUUGGCUUAACCAU
rnacentral:rRNA from 1 species